CUACAUACAUAUUUUCAUAUCUUUUUUCGGUUGAUGUAUUUUAUAGUUUCUAUUGGCAUAUAUAUUUUCAUAUCUCUUAGGCUUCCAUGUUUCCUAAAAGGAAAUUCAACAAAAGAAUCAAGAAAACAGAAUCAGCCAGAAAAUUCAUUAUCCCCUUGCUGCCCCAUUAUCCUCACAACAAAAAAGAAACCUAAAACACGAAAUUUUAAUAAGUUUCCAAAUUUUACCUCAUCAUUUUUUACCCAAAUUCUUGGUUAAUUUCUUUUUUCACUGUUCCCUUUCCAGUCAUUGUGCUCUACUGGUGAUUUGUUUUGAUAACCAUGGUGUCUCAGCUAUCUUUCAUGAACAUUGACUAAUUCCAUGAAAACCUACCACCUCCCACCAACAACGGGUGCCAGGAUCAAUGCGGGGAUCAAAUUCGAAUGGUGGGUGCCACUACUCAACUUGAUCGAGAUUGAAGUGAAUGAUGAAGAAUUUUUGAAAUAUUUUGAUACGAGUUUAUAUACAUUUGGUUUUGUGUGGAACUUGGUACAAAUUUUUAUUAUAUUAUUUUCUCAUUAAUUAUUAUGUGGAAGACAUGUAUUUUUUGAAAUCAAGUCCAUGCACUUCAA